UAGUGUUAGGCUGACGAAGCUGAUCCGGAGUGAAGUGAAGGCUGCAAACUUUGCUGUGCGGCGUUAGCUUCAACUGGUAGCACAGAUAUUUACAAGCCAUCUUCUUAAUUCAGGAUCG